rnacentral:rRNA from 1 species
AACUAUGUGCCAGCAGCUGCGGUAAUACAUAGGUCGCGAGCGUUAUUCGGAUUUAUUGGGCGUAAAGCAAGCGCAGGCGGAUGGCUAAGUUCUAUGUUAAAAGCGGCUGCUUAACAGUCGUUUGCAUAGAAUACUAGCUGUCUAGAAUGUGGUAGGAAGUUUUGGAAUUAAAUAUGGAGCGGUGGAAUGUGUAGAUAUAUUUAAGAACACCAGAGGCGAAGGCGAAAACUUAGGCCAUUAUUGACGCUUAGGCUUGAAAGUGUGGGUAGCAAAUGGGAUUAGAUACCCCAGUAGUCCACACCGUAAACGAUGGGUAUUGGGUGUCGGGGUUUGAGCCUCGGUGCUGUAGCUUACGUGUUAAAUACCCCGCCUGGGUAGUACAUAUGCAAAUAUGAAACUCAAAGGAAUUGACGGGGACCUGAACAAGUGGUGGAACAUGUUGCUUAAUUCGAUAAUACACGAAAAACCUUACCAAGGUUUGACAUCCCUCGCAAAUCUAUAGAAAUAUAGUGGAGGUUAUCGAGGUGACAGGUGGUGCAUGGUUGUCGUCAGCUCGUGUCAUGAGAUGUUUGGUUAAGUCCCGCAACGAGCGCAACCCUACUCUUUAGUUACUUUUCUGAAGAGACUGAACAGUAAUGUAUAGGAAGGUUGGGAUCACGUCAAAUCAUCAUGCCCCUUAUGCCUUGGGCCGCAAACGUGUUACAAUGGCGAGUACAAUGUGUUGCAAUCUAGCGAUAGUGAGCUAAUCACUAAAACUCGUCUCAGUCCGGAUAAAAGGCUGCAAUUCGCCUUUUUGAAGUUGGAAUCACUAGUAAUCCCGUGUCAGCUAUAUCGGGGUGAAUACGUUCCCAGGUCUUGUACAC